GGAUGCGAUCAUACCAGCACUAAAGCACCGGAUCCCAUCAGAACUCCGAAGUUAAGCGUGCUUGGGCGAGAGUAGUACUAGGAUGGGUGACCUCUUGGGAAGUCCUCGUGUUGCAUUCC
rfam:Triticum urartu cultivar G1812 contig1160092, whole genome shotgun sequence.